GGACCUACGGGACGCAGCAGUGGGGAAUAUUGCACAAUAGGCGAAAGCCUGAUGCAGCAACGCCGCGUGAAGGAAGAAGGGUUUCGGCUCGUAAACUUCUAUCAACAGGGACGAAAGAAAUGACGGUACCUGAAUAAGAAGCCCCGGCUAACUACGUGCCAGCAGCCGCGGUAAUACGUAGGGGGCAAGCGUUAUCCGGAAUUACUGGGUGUAAAGGGAGCGUAGGUGGCAUGGUAAGCCAGAAGUGAAAACCCAGGGCUCAACUCUGUGGAUUGCUUUUGGAACUAUCAAACUAGAGUGCUGGG
rnacentral:rRNA from 1 species